AAUAGCUCACUGAUCGAGUCGUCCUGCGCGGAAGAUGUAACGGGGCUAAGCCAGUUACCGAAGCUGCGGAUGCACAGUUUACUGUGCGUGGUAGGAGAGCGUUCUGUAAGCCUGUGAAGGUGUCUGGUAACGGAUGCUGGAGGUAUCAGAAGUGCGAAUGCUGACAUGAGUAGCGUUAAAGGGGGUGAAAAGCCCCCUCGCCGUAAGCGCAAGGUUUUCUACGCAACGUUCAUCGGCGUAGAGUGAGUCGGCCCCUAAGGCGAGGCAGAGAUGCGUAGCUGAUGGGAAACAGGUCAAUAUUCCUGUACCGAUCAAUAGUGCGAUGUGGGGACGGAGAAGGUUAGCUCAGCCAGGUGUUGGAUAUCCUGGUUCAAGCAUGUAGGCGUGCCCCUUAGGCAAAUCCGGGGGGCUUAGCUGAGGUGUGAUAACGAGUCUGCUUGCAGACGAAGUGAGUGAUACCCUGCUUCCAGGAAAAGCCACUAAGCUUCAGCUAUUGACGACCGUACCGCAAACCGACACUGGUGCGCGAGAUGAGUAUUCUAAGGCGCUUGAGAGAACUCAGGAGAAGGAACUCGGCAAAUUGA
rnacentral:rRNA from 1 species